GCGGCCGCCCACUCUCUCAUCAUGUCGCGUGUUCUCUCCCUCAUGCAGGUGGCAAGGCAGCCGCCCCCGUUGCUCGCCGUCGACGCUCGACACCGGCGUGCUCGCCUUCGUCGGUCGCAAACAAAAAAAACAUUUGAUUCACCGACACUGGUUCCGGCAAAUCUGAAGGACGGUUGUAGCAAAAAAGGACACCGGCUCCAGCAAAAUCCAAAGAUGAUGGAAGCAAAAGUUGGAUGUUGGUUCCAGCAAAAACCAAACGGUGGUAGCAAAAAUAAUUAGGUGCUAGUUCUAGUAAACCCAAAAUGAUGGUAGCAACAAUGGACAUUGGUUUCAGCAAAAACAAAGACGGACGUAGCAAAAAAUGGACGGUGGUCUUUAUAUUGUAGCUCCAAGCUGGGCACUAGUUACAGCAAAAACAACCAGACGGUGGUAGCAAAAAAUGGGGCUCCAUCGAGCAAAAAAGGUUCGUGAUUCCAGCAAAAUUACCGUCGCCGGUCGGCCGAUCACAACACGGCGAGUCUCGGUUCCAGCAUCUCCAAGCCAUGGUUGUAGCAUUCCUCGCAGCCGGUCCCAGCAUCUUGCGCCGCCGGAUGCGGCAUGCCGUGGCCGCCCCAUUCGCCUCGCCGGUUGUAGCAAAACUGAACGCCGGUUCCAGACUGCCAUACUGGGAUUAGCAAUUUGCCCUCCACCGCGUCGCAACUCGCGCGGUCGCCGUCGCCGGAUGUGACGGGUCGCCGCAACAUCGGCAUGCCCCGCAGCGCAGCUCGCGCGGUCGCCCCGCCGGCCGCGACGGGGUAGCCGCAGCAUCGGCAUGCCCCGCAGCGCAGCUCGCGCGGUCGCCCCGCCGGCCGCGACGGGUUAGCCGCAGCAUCGGCAUUGCCCCGCGGUCGAGCCUUGCACCUGCAGCGGCGGCGCUAAACCUGAAGGCCAGGCUGUAAUCCUCGUUGUUGUGGCUACCAUGGCCUGGCUUGGAGCGGUGGUCCAUGCGACUGGAGAGAUUCGAUGGAGUGAUUUUGGGGAAAGGAGGG
rnacentral:rRNA from 1 species